rnacentral:pre_miRNA from 1 species
GUGUGUGGAUGAUGUUCAGCACCAGAGACAAGUGUGUUUACCAGUGUGUGGAUGGUGUUCAGCACCAGAGAC